GCAAACUUGGUCAUUUAGAGGAAGUAAAAGUCGUAACAAGGUUUCCGUAGGUGAACCUGCGGAAGGAUCAUUAUCGAGUCUUGAAAUGGGUUGCAGCUGGCCUUUUACUGGGCAUGUGCUCGCCUUUUCAAAUCCACUCUACACCUGUGCACUUACUGUGGGCUUUGGCUCUUGUUAGGUCUUGUUUUGCAACUUGGCCUUGUGAGGUCGGGCUCACGUUUUACUACAAACUCUUGAGUAUCAGAAUGUGUAUUUGCGAUGUUAAUGCAUCUUAUACAACUUUCAGCAACGGAUCUCUUGGCUCUCGCAUCGAUGAAGAACGCAGC
rnacentral:misc_RNA from 1 species